GCUGUGGCUCCAGUGGAAGAGUCUUUGCCUUGCAUGCGGGAAGGUCUCAGGUUCAAUUCCUGGCAUCUCCA
rnacentral:tRNA from 1 species